rnacentral:sRNA from 1 species
UCCUAAGCCGGAAAGCAGCGUCGAUAUCUUUGGCGCGCUCUGGAGCAUCAGACCGUUUGAACGCUUUGACCACGGAUGUACUGGCAUUGACGAAAAACGGAUGGAAAGGUCGGGCUUGCCCGGCCUUUUUGUUU